UGGAUGCAGGAACCACCAGAUGGUUCUGCAGUAUUCAGAGUGGAGCCAUCGGGGGCCUGUGUAGCCACUUACCGGCAGGGGGAGAAGGUAAAUCAUUCUGGCAGAAAGAGCUGCUCUGCCGCCUGUUCCCCCUGCUGCUGCCAGCUGUUGCGCCUAUCACAUUGUGACAGGCAACGGCGCCGGCAGCUUUAAGCGUCCUCUUCCCCUCCCUAACUGUGUGACAGCGCUCAGUGUUUACUCACUGUGCAGGAAGACCGAAAAGGGGGCAGAGUUACACGGAACAGAGGGGCGGCGGUACAAGGGACCAGGCUGAUCAUGAGGAGGAACAGGAGGAUGGACAGCUCUGGCCAGCCAGACUUCCUUUUGACAUUCUUUAUCAUGGGGCACAUUAUAAACUACAAGCACAACAGGUUGCCAGAUGGAAGCAUCCCCGCAGGAUUGUACUGUGCCUGCUCCAGCCUUACACUUACCUUUCAAGAAAUGAUGUAUCAUCUGAUCACAUGGAAGUCACACUGUGUUUGUCAGAUUUAUUUGCUUAUAUUGUAUCACAUAUUUACCUUAUAUCUACAGUAAAUGUCUGCUGAUGUUUGUUACAUGACUACAUUUAUUUAUUUCAUUAAAUGUUUAUAUUUUUUAAACGUAUAUUAAUGGGUUAUAGGGCUGCAUGUGAUGUCCUUAAAGUGUAUCAGGUUGCACAAAACACACCCAGUGCAUACAGUUCUUAGUAUUCUGACAUUAUACCCAGUGUUGCAAGUAUGCGAUUACGCUCAGGUACGGCAUACCCUUAAGAAUUUGGCAGGAGGUACGCAGUACCACCCGCCACACACUUUGCACCCAUGACCGCCAUUACCACAAUUAUAAUGCGCCAUGAGCAACAAGACCAUGGUGCUUGGCAGCAUGACGGAGUCUCCCACUUUGUCAGGGUUACAUCACACUUCCUCCUCUGGCGGCUGUGGCUGGCACCAAGAGAGGAGCCUGGGUGCACUUAGCCAUGGUGUCCCUUGCUGAUAGCAGCAGUGCAGCUGUUUCCCUUUACUCACCUCGAAUGAUGCAUCGGUACUGAGCGGCUUUUGUUCUUCAAAGGCUUGGCAUGUCUCUGGCCUCACUGUGUGGGAUGAUUAAUUUCUAAUGUAAUGUGAACACUACUAUAUAUUUCUAUUAUUAUGGGGGUAUUAGUAUACAUUUCUAUUGUAAUGUGGACACUACUAUAUAUUUCAGGGGCACUACAGUAUAUAUUCCUAUAAUAUAGUAUAUAUUCCUGUUAUAAUGGAGACAUUACUAUAUCUUGUUAUUAAUUUGGGGGCAUUACUAUAUAUAUUUAUUAUACUGGAGGCAUUACUAUAUAUUGCUGGCCUUGCCUCCAGAGUGCAAAUAAAAAAGGCUGGGACACUGCUAGUGUCAUGUAACCACUCCCCGUAGUGUUAUAUUACCACACCUCCUCACAACACAUGACCACUCCCCUUUUUCGGCAGGGAGUACCACUAAGAAAAUAUUUCUGCUUGCACCAGUGAUUAUACCACAAUGGUCCUAAUAACCCCUGUAGUGGCACACACCUAGUUACGGCCCUGGUGGUGCACCCCUGCUCCCCUCUCUUUGGGGCUACCUCCGCAAAGUAAAAAGUAAAAUGGAAAUUUUAAUAGGCGGCGCACUGUGCAAAAGUUUAAGCUUCCUAUCAAAGUUUAUCUUUUGCUACUGUAGUCCCACCUCUGUCAGUGAAAUAAAUUGUUCACAUUUUCUCAUAAAAACCUGCUCAGUUUAGACUCAUCCAUGACUUAUAGUCAGCAAAAGAGUGUGGGGAUAUUGAGAAUGGGACUAAUUCAGAUGUGGUUGGAGUAACUAUCGCUGCUGCUGACAUAAAAACACAAUUGACCAAGCACUUAAUCAAGUUAAUUCCUGGUGCAGCUGAUAACUCAAUGGUUACUCAUCCCUUAAAGGGUAUACCACCAAAACAUAAAGGUAUCAACAUGGGGGGUAAUUCCAAGUUGAUCGCAGCAGGAAUUCUGUUAGCAACUGGGCAAAACCAUGUGCACUGCAGGGGAGGCAGAUUUUACAUGUGCAGAGAGAGUUAGAUUUGGGUGUGG